rnacentral:misc_RNA from 1 species
GAUGAAGAACGUAGCGAAAUGCGAUAAGUAGUGUGAAUUGCAGAAUUCAGUGAAUCAUCGAAUCUUUGAACGCACAUUGCGCCCCUUGGUAUUCCAUGGGGCAUGCCUGUUCGAGCGUCAUUUGUACCUUCAAGCUCUGCUUGGUGUUGGGUGUUUGUCUCGCCUCUGCGCGUAGACUCGCCUCAAAACAAUUGGCAGCCGGCGUACUUGUUUCGGAGCGCAGCACAUUUUGCGAUCCAGAUCAACGUACAGCGGCAUCCAAGAAGCCUUAUUUAACGCUCUUGACCUCGGAUCAGGUAGGGAUACCCGCUGAACUUAAGCAUAUCAAUAAGCGGAGGA